CUACGAGUAUGGAAGGAUCUCUUUUGGAGAUCUGGUCUGCUGAAGUUUCAUAAACAACUUCAGGAUAUGGAUUGGGAACACAUGGAUGGCUUUUCAGUUCAAAGGCAAGCUGUGGGACUACCAAGAGAUUCAAAGAAACAAAGAAAAUUUCCAGGUUUAGGAUGGUUCCCAUAACAUGAGGGAGUGAUUACUUGCAGAAGAGGAGACAACACACUGUUCAUGUUUCUUUGUUUCGUUUGUGCAUAUUCAGGCUUUCUUAGAAGCAGUCAAGAAUGUGAAAAGUAUGGUCACUUUUCCCUUCAGUUGUGUUCUGGAAGGAUUAUGCAAACUACCUGUUUCAGCUAGAAUAUAUACUGUAUUAUAUAACAGGAAUUCAAGAAAAAUGAGGAACCUCCCCAGAUGCUUCCAAACUCAACGCCUGGAAAUAAGUAAAAUGACAGGGGUCAUUUCCUUGGCAUGGAAAAAAUCAGACAGAGCUAUGUACAAAUAUACUGAAAAAGGUUGAAAAUAAAAUUGUGCUAAGACCACUGGAUAAAAACAAACAAAUA